AGCGACGCUGCCUGAUGGGAUCAGGUCGUGUUUGGCGCUUGGGUUCAAGCAAUUUCUUCUUUUCGAGCCUCUGCGAAAGGAAGAAAAUACUGCCUACCUCGCAGAAUUGCUUUGAGAUUAAAAGGACCACAAAAUGGUGGUGAAAUUUAAAAUUUUCAGCCCGGGGAGACUUACCAGUCCUCGUUAACCUCUCCACGACUGCACUUUGGUAAAAUGCAGUGCGUUAAGAACAAAACAACGUGGUACCCAGAAUUGAAUCCUGGAGUAGAAAAAGGACAUUAGUGGGGAAACUGGCGAAAUCUGAAUGAAAUCUGAAGUUUAGUUAAUACUGAUGUACAGAUGUCAGUCUCUUAGUUUUGACAUCAUAGUUUUAUGUAAGAUGUUAAAAA